rnacentral:rRNA from 1 species
AACGAACGCUGGCGGCGUGCCUAACACAUGCAAGUCGUGCGAGAAAGCUUCCUUCGGGAAGUGAGUAGAGCGGCGCACGGGUGAGUAACACGUGGGUAAUCUGCCCUUGAGUCUGGGAUAACCCGGGGAAACCCGGGCUAAUACCGGAUACGGCCCCGGGAUCUCUGGAUCCUGGGGAGAAAGGUGGCCUCUGCUUGCAAGCUAUCUCCCGAGGAUGAGCCCGCGGCCCAUUAGCUUGUUGGUGAGGUAACGGCUCACCAAGGCUGAGAUGGGUAGCUGAUCUGAGAGGAUGAUCAGCCACACUGGAACUGAGACACGGUCCAGACUCCUACGGGAGGCAGCAGUGGGGAAUUUUGGGCAAUGGGCGAAAGCCUGACCCAGCAACGCCGCGUGAGGGAUGAAGGCCCUCGGGUCGUAAACCUCUGUCAGGAGGGAAGAACAGCCUCAAGGCCAAUACCCUUGAGGUCUGACGGUACCUCCAAAGGAAGCGCCGGCUAACUCCGUG